AUCCAGAUGACGAGUCCCAAAUAGGACGAAGUAAGCCUUCGGGAU
rnacentral:hammerhead_ribozyme from 1 species